rnacentral:rRNA from 1 species
UAAAUAGCCGCAGUAUAUUGACUGUGCAAAGGUAGCAUAAUCAUUUGGUCUUUAAAUGAGAUCUUGUAUGAAAGGGUUAACGAGGUUUUACUGUCUCAAAAAUAUUUUUUGAAUUUAUAAUUUUUGUAAUAAUACAAGAAUUAAAUUAAGGGACGAUAAGACCCUAUAAAGCUUUAUUCUGCUAAUAAGUUAUUUUUAUAAAAUUUAAGUUAUAAAAGGAAUUUUACUGGGGCGGUACUUUAAUGUUAAAACUAAAGUAGUAUAAAUAUUUGAUCCAAUAUUGUUGAUCAUAGGAUUAAGUUACUUUAGGGAUAACAGCAUAAUUCACUUAGAGAGUUCAAAUCGAAGGGUGGGAUUAUGACCUCGAUGUUGAAUUAAAAUUUCUUUAGGGUGUAGGCGCUCUAAAAGUUAGUCUGUUCGACUAUUAAAUUUUUACAUGAUCUG